UCCGGUUUGUCACCGGCAGUCCCAUUAGAGUGCCCAACUUAAUGUGGCAACUAAGGACGGGGGUUGCGCUCGUUGCGGGACUUAACCCAACAUCUCACGACACGAGCUGACGACAGCCAUGCACCACCUGUAUACCGACCUUGCGGGGGCUACAUCUCUGCAGCUUUCCGGCAUAUGUCAAACCCAGGUAAGGUUCUUCGCGUUGCAUCGAAUUAAUCCGCAUGCUCCGCCGCUUGUGCGGGGACCCGUCAAUUCCUUUGAGUUUUAGCCUUGCGGCCGUACUCCCCAGGCGGGGUGCUUAAUGCGUUAGCUUCGGCACGGACGGAGUCGACACCGCCCACACCUAGCACCCAUCGUUUACGGCGUGGACUAC
rnacentral:misc_RNA from 1 species